CUUUCCUUUGCUGGCGACCGGCGCACGGGUGAGUAACACGUAUCCAACCUGCCCUUUACUCGGGGAUAGCCUUUCGAAAGAAAGAUUAAUACCCGAUAGCAUAAUGAUUCCGCAUGGUUUCAUUAUUAAAGGAUUCCGGUAAAGGAUGGGGAUGCGUUCCAUUAGGUUGUUGGUGAGGUAACGGCUCACCAAGCCUUCGAUGGAUAGGGGUUCUGAGAGGAAGGUCCCCCACAUUGGAACUGAGACACGGUCCAA
rnacentral:rRNA from 1 species